UCACACCUCGGCUGAGCUCUCCAGUCUGCGUCAGAACCUCUGGGAGCCUGGAAGUAGCUGCGAACAGCGGUGACCUACCAGAAAAAACAGUGUGAAUUACUGUAGCAGCUCAGAAGAACUUUGACGGUGAAGUCAGACACUUCAUAGCUACUUUCUGAACAUUACCCUCUGUCAGUGCCAGGACAGGCAGCAUCUACCAGGACAGGCAGCAUCUACCAGGACAGACAGCUUUUCCACAUCCUGAGCCUCAUUUUAUCACCCUGCAGUGUUGCCAUGGUUGGUGUUUUCCAAGACAGUCCCAAAUCUGUGUACCUUCUCUUUUUUCAACAAGGAUGAUUCAUUAAAUGUCAAACCAAA